UAAAGUGACUGAAUUCAGAAAAAGAGUGGUUAAAGAAGAAAAAGUAUCAAUUGAAGCUCCAAAAAGAGAACCUCAACCCAUCAAAGAAGUAACUAUAAUGGAAGAGAAAGAAAGGGCUUAUACCCUAGAAGAAGAAGCUGUUUCAGUACAACGGGAAGAAGAAUAUGAGGAAUAUGAAGAAUAUGAUUAUAAAGAAUUUGAGGAGUAUGAACCAACAGAAGAAUAUGACCAAUAUGAAGAAUACGAGGAGCGGGAGUAUGAACGAUAUGAAGAGCAUGAAGAAUACAUCACAGAACCAGAGAAGCCUAUCCCUGUAAAGCCUGUCCCAGAAGAACCAGUUCCCACAAAACCAAAGGCCCCACCGGCUAAAGUGCUGAAGAAAGCUGUCCCUGAAGAAAAAGUACCAGUGCCCAUUCCUAAGAAACUCAAACCUCCACCACCCAAAGUGCCUGAAGAACCAAAGAAAGUUUUUGAGGAAAAAAUACGUAUUUCAAUUACCAAACGUGAAAAAGAGCAGGUGACUGAACCCGCUGCUAAAGUGCCCAUGAAGCCCAAGAGGGUUGUCGCAGAAGAAAAAGUACCUGUCCCUAGAAAAGAAGUAGCACCACCUGUUAGAGUGCCAGAAGUGCCUAAAGAACUUGAACCAGAAGAGGUUGCCUUUGAAGAGGAAGUUGUAACCCAUGUAGAAGAAUAUCUUGUAGAAGAAGAAGAAGAGUACAUUCAUGAAGAAGAGGAGUUCAUAACUGAGGAAGAAGUGGUGCCAGUGAUACCAGUCAAAGUGCCUGAGGUACCCAGGAAACCUGUUCCAGAAGAGAAGAAACCUGUUCCUGUUCCCAAGAAGAAGGAAGCUCCACCGGCAAAAGUGCCUGAGGUUCCUAAGAAGCCAGAGGAGAAAGUUCCUGUGCUUAUUCCUAAAAAGGAGAAGCCUCCGCCAGCAAAAGUUCCUGAAGUGCCCAAGAAACCUGUGCCAGAGGAGAAAGUACCAGUACCAGUUCCUAAAAAGGUGGAAGCUCCACCUGCCAAAGUGCCAGAGGUACCCAAGAAGCCUGUGCCUGAGAAGAAGGUGCCAGUUCCUGCUCCUAAGAAAGUGGAGGCUCCACCUGCAAAAGUGCCAGAGGUGCCCAAGAAGCUCAUCC
rnacentral:lncRNA from 1 species